GGAUCAAAAUUAAAAAGCAUAGAGUAGAAUCCUAGGCAUCUAAAGGUGAAGAAGGACGUAAAAUGUAUACGAUAAGCUUAAUAAGUUGUAUUUAUUAAGAUAUCCUAAUGGGGUUACCUAAAAAGGAAGGUUUAUCUUUUUUAUUUUCUUUGGAAUUCAUAAAAAAGAAAAAAUAAACUCAGUGAAUUGAACCAUCUUAGUAACUGAAGGAACAGAAAGCAACCGCGAUUUCCGAAGUAGUGGUGAGCGAAAUGGAAAUAGUCUUUUAUUUGUUCUUUUUUUUAUUUUUAGGAAAUAAUUAAAAAUUAUACCAUAGAAGGUGAAUAGUCCAGUACUAAAAAAAAAAGUGUUAUUAUUUCUUAUUAGAAUUAUGAAAUAAUAAAACAAGAAUAAAUAAUCACAAGUAAUAUGGAAGUUACUCCGUAUGAAAGAAUAAGAACCACCUUAUAAGACUAAAUACUAUUAGAUGACCGAUAGUGAACAAGUACCGUGAGGGAAAGGUGAAAAGAAUUCUUUUUAAUAGAAAAUGAAAUAGUAUAAAACUCUAUGCUAACAAACAGUAGAAGACUUUAUAAAGUUAACUGCGUGCCUGUUGAAGUAUGAGCCAACGAGUUAAAAAGAAAGGCUUGGUUAAAAAGUAAUCUUUGAAGCCAAAGCGAAGGCAAGUUUUAUUUUGUAAAGAAAUGGAGCGUCGGUCUUUUUUUUUAGACCCGAAGCCGAGUGAUCUACCCAUGACCAGGGUGAAACAUUUCUGAUUGAAAUUGGAGGCCCGAACCGACUAAUGGUGAAAAAUUAGCGGAUGAGUUGUGGGUAGGGGCGAAAAACCAAUCGAACUCGGCACUAGCUGGUUCUCUCCGAAAUGUAUUUAGGUACAGCAAUAAAUAAGAAAAAAAGGGGUAAAGCACUGUUUCAUUUGGGGGCUUCGAAAGUUGUACCUCAGUGUGGCAAACUCUGAAUACUUUAAUUUCUUUUAUUUAUUAGUGAGACAGCGGGGGAUAAGCUCCGUUGUCAAAAGGGGAACAGCCCAGAUCACUAGUUAAGGCCUCUAAAUAAGAAUGAUAGUGAUAAAGGUUGUAGACGUGCUGAAACCGCCGAUAGGUCCGCUCAGAAGCAGCCAUCCUUUAACGAGUGCGUAACAGCUCACGGGUUAUGAGAGGACUUUAUGAAAUCUCUUUUCGUGUUUCAAGCGUAUUUGCGUCGAAAAUUAAUGAGACUUAAUUCUUUGCCGAAACUGUGGGAAUAUUUAUAUAUUCGGUAGGAGAGCGUUCUAUUUUAAUUAUUUAUUUGAUAAUUUUUUAAAUAGAAGUGAGAAUGUUGGCUUAAGUAACGAAAACAUUGGUGAAAAUCCAAUGCCCCGAAAUCCCAAGGUUUCCUUCAAUAAGGCUCGUCCGAGAAGGGUUAGUCAAGACCUAAGGUGAGGCUGAAAGGCGUAAUCGAUGGAAAAAAAGUUAAUAUUCUUUUACUUUUUUUAUUAAAGAACAAAAUAGAAGGACGAAGAUAUCAAAAUAAAUAAUAAAUGGAUUUUAUUUAUUUUUUUCUAUUAGAUAUAAUGUUUUAAUUUUUUGAAAAAAAACUGAAAAUUUAUGUUAUUAUAGUAUUAAUUAAAAAUAAUACAAUAAUAGAAAAAAAAAUCUUCCAAGAAAAUUUCUAAAU
rnacentral:rRNA from 1 species